AGAACCAUACAAAACCAGUAAACAUACGAUAAGCUUAAAGAAUUUAAUUUUUUUUCAAAACUAUUAUGUAUUUAUAAGAUGAAAAUGAGGAGACUAACCCUCAAACAGAGGACCAAAUCCAAACUUCGAAUCUCUUACGGAAAUUUUUUUUGUAUAAACUCUUGAGCAGAUGGCGUUUUAUACAUUAUAAACAUCAAGAACACUCAGUUAAGUUUUGAACAGAAAAAGAUAACUAAAAAAAGAAAAAAAAAAGACAUUGUAGUGAAAUUUGUUUUGAAUCCCGAAUAUGAACAUAACAAAAAAAAACAACUUUUCUUACUAUCAACUAUGUUGAAAUGCGCUUGGGCUUCCUUAUUCAAAUUAGUUAAACAGAUUUUGAUACACAUAAUAAGCAGGUUCUGUUCUAUAUUCUUGCGCUGCACCAAGCAAACUGUUUAAUCAGAAAACAUAAAAUUUUCAAAGUUAAGCAAUGCAAUUUUACCAUAUGGGCUCUAUUUUUACUUUAGCUUCAGCUUGCAUUUCCAUAGCAACCCUCACUCCAUUAGGAGGUAUGAUAAUUCAACCAAAGAGGAACAGAAAAUGUCUCACUUGUCUCAUAAAAAUUCACUCAAGAAUACAAUGUUUUGCAGCAACAUUGAUGGCUUCGUGCAAGAAUGAUUCAGUCUCGAAAUCAUCAUAUGAUUCUGUAAUAUGCAAUGCAUACAGGACCGGCUCAACAUUCUUAGGGGCCCUAGGACAAAAAAAAAAUUUACCUUCUAAAAUUUGUAUACAAAUAAUAUUUAAAAUAUAUUUAAAAUUUAAUAUGUAAUAUUUUGUAUAUAUUUGCAAUGAAAAUAAAACUAUAUAUAAAUCAAAUAAUUUCGGACCCUUUUCAAUUUUAUUUAUUAUAUUUAUAAUUUUUAUAUAUAUAAAAAUAUAGAUUUAUAAGAAAAUCGGGUCUCUUAAUUAUUAUUAUACGGGGGGACACAGGCUUGGGCCCGGGGCGGUCGCACCGGUUGUUCCCCCACUGAGCCGGCC
rnacentral:lncRNA from 1 species